UGACCUGCGGAGGGAUCAUUACUGAGUUUACGCUCUAUAACCCUUUGUGAACAUACCUAUAACUGUUGCUUCGGCGGGUAGGGUCUCCGCGACCCUCCCGGCCUCCCGCCUCCGGGCGGGUCGGCGCCCGCCGGAGGAUAACCAAACUCUGAUUUAACGACGUUUCUUCUGAGUGGUACAAGCAAAUAAUCAAAACUUUUAACAACGGAUCUCUUGGUUCUGGCAUCGAUGAAGAACGCAGCGAAAUGCGAUAAGUAAUGUGAAUUGCAGAAUUCAGUGAAUCAUCGAAUCUUUGAACGCACAUUGCGCCCGCCAGCAUUCUGGCGGGCAUGCCUGUUCGAGCGUCAUUUCAACCCUCAAGCUCUGCUUGGUGUUGGGGCCCUACAGCUGAUGUAGGCCCUCAAAGGUAGUGGCGGACCCUCCCGGAGCCUCCUUUGCGUAGUAACUUUACGUCUCGCACUGGGAUCCGGAGGGACUCUUGCCGUAAAACCCCCCAAUUUCCAAAGGUGACCUCGGAUCAGGAGGGAACCCGUAC
rnacentral:rRNA from 1 species